rnacentral:rRNA from 1 species
CCUACGGGUGGCAGCAGUGGGGAAUAUUGCACAAUGGGGGAAACCCUGAUGCAGCGACGCCGCGUGAGUGAAGAAGUAUUUCGGUAUGUAAAGCUCUAUCAGCAGGGAAGAAAGACAUGACGGUACCUGACUAAGAAGCCCCGGCUAACUACGUGCCAGCAGCCGCGGUAAUACGUAGGGGGCAAGCGUUAUCCGGAUUUACUGGGUGUAAAGGGAGCGUAGACGGCAGUGCAAGUCUGGAGUGAAAGGCGGGGGCUCAACCCCCGGACUGCUCUGGAAACUGUACGGCUGGAGUGCAGGAGAGGUAAGUGGAAUUCCUAGUGUAGCGGUGAAAUGCGUAGAUAUUAGGAGGAACACCAGUGGCGAAGGCGGCUUACUGGACUGUAACUGACGUUGAGGCUCGAAAGCGUGGGGAGCAAACAGGAUUAGAUACCCCUGUAGUC